ACGAACGCUGGCGGCGCGCCUAACACAUGCAAGUCGAACGGGACUGCGAGAAGCUUGCUUUUUGCAGUCUAGUGGCGGACGGGUGAGUAACACGUGAGCAACCUGCCUCUAAGUGGGGAAUAACGGCUGGAAACGGUCGCUAAUACCGCAUAAUAUAGCGGGGUCGCAUGACCUUGUUAUCAAAGAUUUAUCGCUUAGAGAUGGGCUCGCGUCCGAUUAGCUGGAUGGUGGGGUAACGGCCCACCAUGGCGACGAUCGGUAGCCGGACUGAGAGGUUGAUCGGCCACAUUGGGACUGAGACACGGCCCAGACUCCUACGGGAGGCAGCAGUGGGGGAUAUUGCACAAUGGGGGAAACCCUGAUGCAGCGACGCCGCGUGAGGGAAGACGGUCCUCUGGAUUGUAAACCUCUGUCGGAAGGGACGAUCGUGACGGUACCUUCCGAGGAAGCUCCGGCUAACUACGUGCCAGCAGCCGCGGUAAUACGUAGGGAGCGAGCGUUGUCCGGAAUUACUGGGUGUAAAGGGAGCGUAGGCGGGAUCGCAAGUUGGAUGUCUAAUCUAUCGGCUCAACCGGUAUUCGCAUUCAAAACUGUGAUUCUUGAGUGAAGUAGAGGCAGGCGGAAUUCCUAGUGUAGCGGUGAAAUGCGUAGAUAUUAGGAGGAACACCAGUGGCGAAGGCGGCCUGCUGGGCUUUUACUGACGCUGAGGCUCGAAAGUGUGGGGAGCAAACAGGAUUAGAUACCCUGGUAGUCCACACUGUAAACGAUGAUUACUAGGUGUGGGGGGUCUGACCCCUUCCGUGCCGGAGUUAACACAAUAAGUAAUCCACCUGGGGAGUACGAUCGCAAGAUUGAAACUCAAAGGAAUUGACGGGGGCCCGCACAAGCAGUGGAGUAUGUGGUUUAAUUCGAAGCAACGCGAAGAACCUUACCAGGUCUUGACAUCGGAUGCAUACCUUAGAGAUAAGGGAAGUCCUUCGGGACAUCCAGACAGGUGGUGCAUGGUUGUCGUCAGCUCGUGUCGUGAGAUGUUGGGUUAAGUCCCGCAACGAGCGCAACCCUUGUUAUUAGUUGCUACGCAAGAGCACUCUAAUGAGACUGCCGUUGACAAAACGGAGGAAGGUGGGGAUGACGUCAAAUCAUCAUGCCCCUUAUGACCUGGGCUACACACGUACUACAAUGGCGAUCAACAGAGGGAAGCAAUACCGCGAGGUGGAGCAAAACCCUAAAAGUCGUCCCAGUUCAGAUUGCAGGCUGCAACUCGCCUGUAUGAAGUCGGAAUUGCUAGUAAUCGCGGAUCAGCAUGCCGCGGUGAAUACGUUCCCGGGCCUUGUACACACCGCCCGUCACACCAUGGAAGUCGGUAACGCCCGAAGUCAGUAGUCUAACCGCAAGGGGGACGCUGCCGAAGGCGGGACUGGUAACUGGGGUG
rnacentral:rRNA from 1 species